GUCAUGGAGUCCAAAGCCUUCAUUUUGUAGUUGGAGAAACCAGUCUUGAGUCACUAAAUAUCUUGGCCAAGGCUGAACAGGUAGAAAUGUCAGAGGUAGGACCUGAAUCCAGGUCCCCUAAUUCCACAGCCAAGAUCCCUUCUACUAUACCAUGCUGCAUCUUUAAUGGACUUGGAGAGUCAUCUUCACUACUGAGAGGUAUGCUUUGGACUACAUGUUUCUUCUGACUCUCAAGGUCUGUGAUCUUUGUCUUCCAAGCACAAGAACCAAAAAAAAAACAACAAAAGAUGAAACUGAAUACUAGUUAAUUAUAAUGAACAAACUUGGCCCUGUAGAAGAGGAAGAAGAGGAACCUUUUGAUUGGAAGUUGAGCCUGAACUGAGAAUCCUUACAAGAGGCACUAACCAGAUGAUUUGACCCCCUCCAGCCUGGCUGGUUCUAAUGAGGAGAGUAUGCAGUGAGACUUUGGGUGGACUACCAGGCUAGACUUCAACCUUGUAAACUUCAGAAGAUCCAGAGACCUCAUCUAGGAGCUGGAAUCCAAGUGUUUAUAUGAACUGCUGAGCCAGAGAAGAACAGAGUACCUAGAGAUCUGCUUGGCACAGCCAAGCAUGGAUUGGAGGCAGCCAAGAGAAAAAUAUAGCGACUCAUCCAUCAGCUACACUACACACAGAAGUAAAAUGUGACGGGGGCAAAUGCUUUGUAACAUCUGCUUUAAGAUUGUGCCCAUUCUCUCAAGGGACUGAAGUGAUAUAACCCUAAGCACUGAGGGAACGAUCUGUAACUUCUGUUCUUGCUAUAUGUUCUCAUUAAAUAUCCC